GUAAAACGUGAGUGAACUUUUAUUUUGAAAUGGUGUAUCGGAAGUUGCCUUAUUACCAUCUUUUCCCUUGACGGAGAAAAGUGAGGGCACAACUGGUGGAGCUCCGAGUGGGCUGCGGAUGAUGUCGACCCCUCUGCGGGGACAUCAGCACCCGGGCGAGAUGUUUACAAUGUCGGGACCACAGUUUCGACCCCCGCCGCCCUAUUACUGCAGCCUUCGGCUCCAAUGAAGCGUCCGCCGAUGAAGCCUCGAGCAGCCAGAGUGAGGCGGAAAGAAGCCGGAGACCGAGAUCAUGUACUGGCGGGUCGGCUUCGCCUGGACGCGGUCGUCUGUGGUUGAUUUGGGGCAAAACGCGAGCUUCUCUUCCGGGGUGCUGGGCUUCGAUGGGCAGCUCUCGUUUUAUGGGUAUAUUAUUGCCUACCCACUGCAGGACUACGGUGGGACAAUGUCAGCUCUGGGCUCGGACUCGUGGUGGCGGAAGACGCUGUAUUUGACCGGAGGAGCUCUGCUCGCUGCUGCUGCUUAUUUGCUGCACGAAUUGUUGGCCAUCAGAAAGGAGCAAGAGCUGGACUCUAAAGAUGCCAUCAUACUCCACCAGUUCUCCAGGCCCAAAACUGGUGUUCCAUCCCUUUCCCCUUUCUGCCUUAAGAUGGAGACCUACCUCCGCAUGGUUGAUCUGCCCUACCAGAACUACUUUGAUGGGAAACUUUCACCACAGGGGAAAAUGCCAUGGAUUGAGUACAACCAAGAACAGGUGUACGGCACAGAAUUUAUCAUAGACUUCUUGGAGGAGAGGCUGGGAGUCAGUCUCAACAAGAGCCUGACGCCACAGGAGAAGGCCAUGUCCCGCGCCAUCACCAAAAUGGUAGAAGAACAUUUUUACUGGACCAUAGCUUACUGCCAAUGGGUGGACAACCUGGAGGAGACUCAGAAAAUGCUGUCGGUGAGCGGACCACUGAGUGACCUGCUUAAGUGGAUCCUGAGUCACCUGACGGGUGGGAUCGUACAGAGGGAGAUGUAUGGACACGGAAUUGGUCGGUUUUCUAAGGAGGAGGUUUAUGCAUUGAUGGAAAAGGACAUGCGCACCCUUGCUACUCUACUAGGUGAUAAAAAAUACCUUAUGGGUUCCAAGCUGACAUCUGUAGAUGCUGCAGUUUUCAGUCACCUGGCUCCUGCAAUGUGGACGCUACCAGGAACACGUCCAGAGCAGCUCAUCAAAGGUGAGCUGAUCAACCUGGCCAUGUACUGUGAGCGUAUCCGCCGGCGUUUCUGGCCCGAGUGGUUCGUGGACCUGGAGGACUAUUACUACAGUGACACCACAGAGCCUAGUGACUCGCCCUCCAAGCUCCCUGAUCUGGGUCUCUACUCCCGCACGGAAACUUCCCAAGAAAACACACACACUCACACUUCACGCACCCCUACACCGCUGCGGCCGCUGUCCCCUGACAGUGACCCUACAGGCCACUCGCUUUAUGACUCUGACAUGGACACCGAGUGCUCAGACAUAGAACAGCUUAAGUGUUGACAACGCAUGGCGGCAUACGCUACACAUGUAGAUGCACACCACAGGACGGAGCUGUGAACCUCUUAGGGCAGAAAAGAACCAGGGAGUACUUGUGGUGUUGUUUGUGUUGGUGGAGAAAUGAGAGGUUUAACAGUGAAAGAGUGAUUCAGUGGUAAAUAGGUCAGAGGUCAGGAAGUCAGAUAAAAAAGUCCAGAGAAAAAGAUGGAGGCCACAAAGAAAGUUUGACAGGGAAGAACUAGAAUUCUAAAAAAUCAGGAGUAAAUGACGCCACUGCUGAGAAACUCCUCCACGUGUUUGACAUCAUCAGCAGUCACUCCCUUCUGUCUGUCACCCCAGUGGCUGAAACCUUUACAACUACUGUGUGUGUAUACAAUGUGUGCUUGUGUGGUCCGUGACAUACACCUACUGGUCAAUUCAUUAGGUACAUCCUGCUAUUUAUGUAUUGACAUUUGCUUUCAAAACGGCUUUAUUAUUCAAGGCACAAAUUUAUCAUAAUAUUUGGAAACAUGUUUGUGUGAGAGAAUCCCAGCAUGACAGCGUUUUUUGUUUUUUUUUCCAGUGACAAAAAGUCACUUGAAUCCUCCUUAUUAUAAUGCUGGACCUCGUCCAUGUUUACAAGUCCAAAUGCAUUGACCUCUCUGCCAUUUAACAGACUAAUUGGACAUUUACAUUGUCAGGCAUUUUAACAGAUGUACCUAAUAAAGUGGUCCAGAAGUGUACCAGGGGAAGCCAAAUAGUUAUAAUUUAAAUAUAUAUAUAUAUCUAUAUAUAUAUAUAUAUAUAUAUGUGAACAUUUCUAUCUGCAAAAAAGUUCUUUAUUUGUAGAAGUCUAGAAAAAGAGAUCAAGUAACUUUGAGGGAAGGAAAAUAAUCAAAUGAAGCUAGAUCAGAACCUGUUGCCAAGCUUCAAUUCAUUCAAAUUUUCAUUCAUGUUUGGGUUAAAGAAUUUGACGUACUGAUGGAGCUUGUCAGAGCGUUAAUCUUCACAUGUUCUAGCUAUCUAGCUGGUAAGCAGUCACACCAGUCCUAGAACUUCUUGACUUUGACCCUCCUACAGCUCAUACUCACCUCAUCUGACCUUGUGUGAGGUCUUUGACUCCCAGUGUCAAUAUAACAUCGAGGCAUAAGGACGUGUACAGGUUUAAUGGUAGUGACCAUUAGUGUAAAUAUAUAAAUGGAACUGAUUUGAUUCUCAGAUUUAAAUAGAUAGAAUAUUUAAUUCUGUAUGACUAUAAAUAGUAUAGAUAGCCUGCAAAUAUAAAAUCCUCCCCUCUGUGAUAUGGUGUAAAUAUUGUAGGUGUUUCUUCUAGAAAUUGUCCCUUGUGUUGGACACAAAUGAUCACAUUGUCUCCAUAAAGACUCACUGUCGCUGCUGGUCUAGGAUCAGUUUAUUGAGCUAGCUUAUGUGUUGGCGUUAUCUGUUUCCAUGUCUGUCUUUCUGUACAACUGGCAUAUUGCGGUCAUUUCCGCUGCUUGGAUUUAAGAUGAUGAUCUGUAAUCUCCGACUAGCACUUUUAUGUCUUAAUGUUAAGACAAUUAUUUGCCAAAAAUCUUUGUUUUUCCAGGUGUGGACCAAACAUGUUCAGGAUUCUGUGUUGUUUAAAUCCUCGUUCAGAGCAUUAGUUUUGAGUCAACAAUACGCAGCUUACAUUCAUGCAUACUAAGCGAGAAAAACAAUCAUGUAGAAAUAGAUUAAAAAGAUAUAUAUUAUCAGAAUGAAAAUGCAUGGCGGACACGUCCCUUUACUAUUUUAGGACAACCGUUUCAUUUGCAUGUUGUAGCUGGUCUGAUUAAGUUCUCUUAUGGCAAGGAUGUAGCAAACUGAUCACCACAGGCAUAGGUUUAUUUGAUUUAUUUUAUUCCUUAUGAUGGACUGUGUUGCGUUCAGGGUUUUGUGAAGGAAGCGUGCAGAUUACUGUGUGUUUGUCGUUCAGCAAAUGCACAUAUCAACUUAUCGUGUUUGGGCUUUGUGUGGAAGUUGCUGCUCUUGUGGAUGUUACAACUUUCCCCCACAUCUUUCACACAAAUAUUGGUUGACAGAGGACUGCGGUGUCGUUGUCAUGCUCGUGAUCCUGAAAAGGAUUUUUAAGAAUUGUAAAACAAAGAACAAAACAUUAACAAGGUCAACACUACAAUAAAAAAUGACUAUUGGAUUUAUUUGUCAACAUUUACUCAUGGGAACUUCAUUGGUUGAACUGGACUACAUGAGCACAACACGGACGUGGCUCUAGACCAAACCAAAGUGUGCGGUCCAAGUACAGUGACCUUUAAUCCUGCACACGUGAUCGCAAUGGAACCUGUGGGCAGGCCUUUAUGGUUCCUUGCUUUCAGGCCACUUGGGCUAAAUGCCUGUUGCUAACAGGAAGUGUUCCAGUAGAGCUAUAAACAUGCUGUUGCGUUUCUCGUAAUCUUUCUGUUAUUUGUCACUGUUUAAUUAUUUGCUGACUGAUUGACUUUGUAACUUUAUGUUUUAGAGAAAAGGUGUGUCCUUGUUUCACCACUGUAAAUUUGAUUUGACAAUAAGACACUAAUGUUGUUGGUGAUGAUAAUCAUGUUAGUCUUAGUGAGGAUUUAGUGAUGUAAUUAAAUAUUGUCUGCUGUGCAAAGGUUAAAAAAGAAAAUUCACACUAAGGAAGUUGAGACAUUUGGCAUACUGCCUGACAUAUUGCCUAAAACAAAAGUAAAAACUCUUGCCUUUAUGUUUUUUCCCCCCUGAUAUGCAGCCUUAAGGUGUUUACUUUGUGCAAGUGCCAGCAUAUGAUUUAUUUUAUACAUUUUACUUUUAAGAGUUGUUUUUUGUUUGUUUUGUUAAAGUGUCUGUUUAUGUUUGCUCUGUGUUUGUAACAUAUGUUUUUUUCUUAUCUGGUUUAUACAGAAAGUCCUUUCACGUUGCUUUGUGCUACUUUGUUUUGUGCAAUAACAUCUCUGGUUAAAUGUAUGUUGACGUCAAACAACGAGGGAAAUGCUGAAUUCCAUGUCGCCGGUCAAAGCCAUGACUGCAUGUUUGUCCAUGUUUUGAGAUGUCACAUAUUGUCAUAAACUUUGAACACUGUCAUGUUAGAAGUUAUCAGUUGUCCUUUUUUCCCCAACAAUGUCACUGUUGUUUAAAGUCUCAGAGUAACCUCAGAUGAAAAAAAAUAAAAAAUAAAAUCUGGUCCAACAUGGUAAAAUUCCUAUUUUUUUUUUUGUAAGCGUGACAUUUUGCCUUACAUUUUUUAAACUAAAUCCCAAUCUCUGGCUCUGGGAGGUUAACAAUAUUUACUUUUUAAAUAUUUUUCAUCACUCCUUUUGGCUACAUUCAGCCACCGGGCGCCGCUAUUUCUUUUGCUUACAAUACUUCCUGUCAGGUCACAUCCUCAAAGUCGUGGCUCUAUUUUGUGACGUCACACGUUAUCGAGAAACACUGGAUUUACAAAUAUGCUAACAGGUGGGGGGGUGUCAGCAACACAUUUAAAGACUCGUGGCUGGAAGGAAUGUUUAUUGGAUUACAUCACAAAGGUGGACAGACCAGGGACCGAGAUGUGCAUAUGGCCGCCUGCUACUGUAUCUGGGUGAAAAAGAAUUUGGAGUGACACAUGUGGUCAAGCUCUGGGCCACAAAACCCAGACGAAGACUUCUACAGCAAAGAUUGCACUGCUCCCUCUCCUUCCUUGUUUCCUCUUUCCCUCUCUCAGUUUUUAAUUAAACAGAAGCAGGGGGCUGCAAAAAACCUGCUACUAAUUACACAGCCGCUGCCUCUCUCCUGCUCUGUCCCUGCCUCUCUCGCUCUCUCCCUGCUCUUUCUUCUGUUUGCUUGUUCCUCUCCCUCCGUUCCUCUGUCUCCCUGAGCUGAACUGGAGCUCUGCCAACAGCCUGUGGAAUCACUUACCAGCUUUCACAAUGGGAGGAGAGAACGUGAGCUCGUUGGAGUCCACACACACAAAUGUGAGUAAACUGCAUGCACACAUACGCUUUGGCACAAAUGUGUGCAAUCACAGAUGCUGAGCAAAAUGUUUGGAAGUCAAAGUGCUAAAUGCAGACUCACAAAAGUCCACAGAUAUAGGUCAGGCUCAAGACAUCCUGACUUACUCCUGCAUAUCCACUGAGCACCUCUGCCUUCACUCUGUGUGUGUGUGUGUGUGUGUGUGUGUCUGUGGCUGGUGUAGGGGUUGGAAUGCAAAGAUAGGUUAACCAGCUCUCUAAUGAGAGUGAACACUAAUCAUAUUUCACACUGACAGACACACAAUCACAACAUCUGUAUCCACUGACUCCCACCCUGUCAUUUUUCUCCAUCCUCCUCUCUGGUGAACAUUCCUUCUUCCCUCUCCUCCAUGUUAUAGUGUACCCCACCUCAAUUCCUCUGCUUCCCCUCCAUCCUUUCUAUCACACACAAGACUUGGGAGCUCUCUAUCACUCCCCUAUUUUCCUGAUUGCUCUCUUCUGUCUCUUUUAUUUUCUCCUUUUUGGAGCGAUCAAGCAUGGAAAGGCUGAAAAGACAGAGAACGCUAAAGACGUUUGGCUCGUGCCUCCAUCAACCAAGUUUCCUUCUUUCUCUGCCUCUCUCCGUUUUCUUUUCUUUCUGUUCCUUGUUUCAUUCUUGCUGUGAGUGCCUUCUCUUAUUCAAGCUUUUGCUUCAAGCAGGGUUUCUGGUGGACUGUAAUUUAACAACCUGCAGCCCAAUCCAUCACACAGACAAUCUGCACACACUGCCGCUAUGCAUCACCUGCAGGCCGUGUGUGUGUGCGUGCAAUUUUGUCAGGAGGUGUAUUUGACGAGUAGAUUGUACGUAAAUCAGUGGAAUGCUAGAUGAGAAAAAUUGACGGGAAAGUGAAAGAUUUAGGUAUAAGACAAUUGGGGAGUCACAUUCACUGAGGAAAUGCACAAUAACAGCUCUGAGCUGUGUCUGACAGAGUAGGGAGUGAUAAAACAGCAGCGCUGAGCUUGAUAACAGGCAGUAAAGGCAGCAGAUAUAGAGCGAUGUAGCUUUAUAGCUAAAGUAGCUGGACAGCAGGAGUGGGCGGGACGUGGGAGCCCCCUCUGCUGCAAUCAAGUCGCUGUCACCAUCUGGACGCCAUUUUAAAACCAUCAGCUCUGGCUUCUCAUGUAAACAAGGGCACGACCCCAGACAUGCUUCCCUCACUAAAUUGUUUUUUUUUUUUUUUUUCCUGGCAGCUGCAGACCCCAAAAUGGCUGACUUUAUGGGGUAAAAACAGGAGCCAGAAUGGCUGACCUACUGUACUACACAGGAGGCCAUUCUGUUCCUCAUUAUCCCAGCAUUUCUCACUGUGAACAAAAUAUGUUGUGUUGAUAUCCAUCCAAAAUUAGCCAAGCUUCAGCACUUGACUUUAAGUAGAAAUGGAUAUACUGUUUCAGUUGGAUAUGAAAUUCUAAGAAUAAAAGGAAAACAAUAAUCAUUAUCAUUGAACCAUAAUGUAUAGAGAUAACAUAAAAUAUUGAAAAUUAAAAUACAAUCUUACUUUAUAAUCAUUGUUUUGUCCAGGUUAAUUCUUCUUAAUUCAAAUAUUUGCUAUCUUUCUAAAUCUUAACUGAAUAUGUCUUAGAAAGCAAUCAAAGCAUAAAUAUCUGAGUCAACGCUGCCCCUGUUGGAUUCCAGCACCAAUUGUAAAAUCUGUUUUUGUGUUAGCUGUACAGCCCUGACAUCAAAAUAAACCUUUAAUCACACUGUAUUUAAAAUAUUCUGUGUUCUGCAAUUUUGUUUUUAGUGACAUAACUUAUACAAUGUCUCCUCCUGUGACCUGCUGAUUCAACCCCUUCCCCAUCUCUGACUUCCACUUUUUUAAGCUACUAUUCCCUUAGUCACUAUUAUUGUUCUUCAAGUAAUAUUUCCAGCAGUGAUCACUAUUUUUUAAUUUAAUGAAAACCCCUGCCAUGCUACUAUUUGGCAGCUUUAUUGAGCGUAGAUUCAUGGACUUGAAUAUCUUUAGUUUUCUUUCACUCCACUACUUUUUCUGACAAUAAAAUGAUUUUGGCAACAAAACUAUUAUCUCUCCUAGUGUACAAUAGCCUCUUUAUCAGAAUUAUC